CCCUACGGGGUGCAGCAGGCGAGAAAACUUUGCAAUGUGCGAAAGCACGACAAGGUUAAUCCGAGUGGUUUCUGCUAAAGGAACCUUUUGUCAGUCCUAGAAACACUGACGAAUAAGGGGUGGGCAAGUUCUGGUGUCAGCCGCCGCGGUAAAACCAGCACCUCAAGUGGUCAGGAUGAUUAUUGGGCCUAAAGCAUCCGUAGCCGGCUCUGUAAGUUUUCGGUUAAAUCUGUACGCUCAACGUACAGGCUGCCGGGAAUACUGCAGAGCUAGGGAGUGGGAGAGGUAGACGGUACUCGGUAGGAAGGGGUAAAAUCCUUUGAUCUAUUGAUGACCACCUGUGGCGAAGGCGGUCUACCAGAACACGUCCGACGGUGAGGGAUGAAAGCUGGGGGAGCAAACCGGAUUAGAUACCCGGGUAGUCCCAGCUGUAAACUAUGCAAACUCAGUGAUGCAUUGGCUUGUGGCCAAUGCAGUGCUGCAGGGAAGCCGUUAAGUUUGCCGCCUGGGAAGUACGUACGCAAGUAUGAAACUUAAAGGAAUUGGCGGGGGAGCACCACAAGGGGUGAAGCCUGCGGUUCAAUUGGAGUCAACGCCAGAAAUCUUACCCGGAGAGACAGCAGAAUGAAGGUCAAGCUGAAGACUUUACCAGACAAGCUGAGAAGAAGUGCAUGGCC
rnacentral:rRNA from 1 species